rnacentral:lncRNA from 1 species
UCCUUUUCAACACUGCUUGAUAUGAUACCGAAGCAAUACAUUUUAUAACCUUCUCUUUCCGAACCUAAUUCCAACCAGCCUCGUCUUGGCUUUCAAAAUCAGCGAUCAUUUUUCUCAGUUCAAUGCUCGGCUCCUUUAGUCUUCCACCCACACUGAAGCACUGGUUCCAAGAUGAUUAACAGAAGCCAAUUUAUCUGAUUUGAAAAUACAGCUUCAGAUCUUAUUCCCUCUCUACGCAACCUGGGGAUUUUGGUUCACGGAGCAAUCCCAGCCACUUCAGCCAUAUCCCCGUGCCAAAUUGAGAGCGCAGAAAGCAACCGUAAAUACUGACUGCUCCGCGCCCUACUUCAUUUUGGCUCAAGUUUGGCUUCAGCUUCAUUCUGAAUCCACGCCAACUUCAUUGUGUUCAAUUGGAGGCACGCGCGGUGCAUCAACAGGCCUUCUGUGUUUGGGCGAGGGCUUAUGCGAUGAUGGUGAUGAUUGCGACGCACGAUCAGGUGAUCUUUGUAUCUAAUUAUGAUUUGUUAUUCAUUUCAUAACUUUUAAGGUAUGAGGCCAUUUUCGAGCACUCAAAGUGUUCGGUUUUAGUUCUAAUGGAAUUUGUGCAUUACUGAAACCUAUUGUAGGAUAUACAAGUAUGCAAUGGUCUGAUAUUUGUUUCUCGUUCAUUUCCGUGUCUAUAUCUAUAUGUAUCCAUCUCAUUAUUUGAGAUCUGUUAAUUCCUCAUUUGUGUGUUUCAUGUUUAUAUGUUCAGUUAUCGGCACUAGAUGUGUGGAUUUUUGUUGUUUUUUGUGUGAAUUAGGGUUUCGUGUGAUAUAAAUGUGUUGUUUUUGUAUAUGCUUCUGGUUGAUUUGUUCUUGUGAUUUAUUCGUUUUGUAAAUGUUAAUUUGAGAACCAGCUGAAUUCAGAAUUGUAAACCUUUAGGUUUGUAUAGUUGUAAAUGAUGAUUUGGAUGCGAUUAGGUAUUGAUAUGUAUUUCAAACGGAUUACUGAUAUGCAUCUGAGCAAAGAUUUGAGAGACUUGGUUCUCAUUUGACGUUGGUUCUCACCAGAAUACAGCAAGAUAUACGUUUACACACAAACACGUAGACUGGCAGACACAAAAAGUAAACUAUCUGACGGACCCGGAAAUAUUGGUCUUUCCAUUUGAGAGGGGAGUAGUUGAUAUAGAUUUGUGUUUAUACCUGCCUCAGUUUGGAGUUGUUUUCACUCACAAGCUUACAUGUGAGCUAUUGCUAUGUGUUAGUUCUUCCACAUUCUAGUGGAGAUUUAUCAUCACUGCAGCACCUAAAUUUAUCUUCAAGCCUUUUGAUAAACUAAAAACCAACCUUGGCUAGACUUAAAUCUAUCGAAAAAUAAACAAGACCAUAUUUCAGAAUCACUAAGGUUCAUGGCCUUAACUUAAUCAAAGUAUGAACGGUGUAAUUUUCAAAUGCUAGAUCUGAUUGAAGAAGAUGAAUAAGAGCAAAAGAGAAAGAGACCACGUUGUGGGUAGACUGAAUCUAGUCUCUAUAAACCCGGGAUCGAAUCCCCGCGGCUGCGUGGAUUUGUGAGAUGGGGAAGGGGAAUAAGAGCUUAAUGGGGUUUGAUUUGAAGGUGGUGUUGAUGGUGUCAGUGGCGUUGAAUGUGGUUUUGAUUUCGAGGGUUUUGUAUCGGGAAGAGGAUGAGAGAGAGAUGGGUGGUGGGGUUUGUUUAGAGAGUGAAGCGCAGGUUAGCAGGAGGAGAAAGGGGUUUGACGGAGCUGGUUCCGGCACGGAUGUUGUCGACGGUGGUGGUAUUAUUGAUCUUGAUCAGUAAGUUCUUUUACUCUCCAACUCUUUCUUCCGUUUUUCCAGUUAGUCGUUUCCUUGUUCGUCCCGUAAUACUAAUUAUUUUCUAGAAAUUACAUAUAUAAAAUAUGGUUUCAAAUCCGAACACAAACACAUGAUGCUGCUUUGACUUUCAAAUCCUACGGGGUUCCUCAUGGCUUAACUAGGCCUUUCUAUUACAAUUAUUUACAAUAUUCUUUUUUUCUCAUGAUUUUGAGUGGAAUUGCAAAAGGUGUUGACUUUAAUCUUGUUUGUUUGUGUGUAUUUGUUUGUUUGUUUAAUCCCUGUGUUUUGUUUGGUUUUGGUGUUUUUCGCGAUUUUUCAUGUUAUAUGUGAGAUGCUUCAUUGUUCGCUUCACAUACUUCACAUACGACGAGGCAACUUGACCGAUAGCAUAGCGGUGGUGGCCGAUGGUGGCGGUGACGACGGUUUCAGGACGAGAUCCGGUUUCAGAAAGGAAAACGCGCUAAUUGUGCCUUAAUUCAGGGCGGUAAUUGUGCCUCGUUAAUUGUGCCUCUUUAUUGAGGGCGUAAUUUGUGCCUCAAUUAUUGAGGACGUAAUUUGUGCCUCAAUUUGUGCCUCAAUUAUUGAGGGCGUAAAUUAUUGAGGGCAUUAAUUGUGUCUUAAUUAAGGAUAUUAAUAUUUUAUUAUUAUGCCUUAAUUUAGAGCUUAAUUGUCUCAAUCAUGAGUUAUCAUGAUUCAUGAUUGUGGGAAUAUUUUGAUGUAAUCUGUUAAAUAUAUCGACUUAUAUUCUUUUUGUUUCUCUCGUUUUAUUUUCAGGAUUCUUGGAAGAAGACCCGUUUUCUUUUCGGACAUUAAAGUUUUAUUGUCUAAAUUUCCCCGGUCAUCUUGCAUGUCCGACGGUUAGAUAAUAAGCUUUCUUGAAUGAAAGAAUUAUCACGGUGAAUUGCCGAAAAAAAAAAAAAAAACAAAAAAAAAACCAACCUUGGCCAGCUGUCUAAUCUAAAAUCUGUUACUAGAAAAAGAAUGAGUGAGCGUAAAUACUUUUUAGUUGUGCAAGGCCUUCUGUACAAUCAGCCGCAAGGAAAAUUCGUAUUGGGGAGAAAAAGGGUUAAUUACAAAUGAAAUGUUACUAACAAGGUAGUAUAGCUGCAACUCCCUUCUGACAGGUAGUUCAGCAAGAUGAUUUUCUCUAAUAAUUGUGACAUCUCUGUGCCUUAAUUUUAAUGUUUGGAUUUGGUAAUAUUGAUAUGAUCAUAUUGUUAAUAAUCUUAUUUUCAUUGUGAGUGGAACAUUUUUAAAUACAUUUAGCUUUUUUAAAAUUGGAUUUCUGUUUAUGAUUACAGAUCUGGUGGAUUAGUGGUGGCUUAGAAAACAUAGGAGGCAUAAGUUUUAAAAUGGGUUGGUUAUGUGGUAACACAGAUCAUACUAUCAUAGCUUUUAUGGGCGCCCUUCACAAUAAUGUGCAAACUUCCUCAACCAAGCGAAGCUUUCCUUAAUAAUGUAUUUCUAGAAUUGCAACCAAAAUAGCAAUUGUCAAGUAGAAUUAUACUCUUUUAAUUGCUAACACUUUAUUGUUUGUUAAUAAUUAUAAAAAAUUAUACUUGAUUCCUCUAGAAUUAUUAAAAAAUAAUAUGAUCUUAGUAUAAUAAUAUAAUUUGGAUUUUUACACGAGGCCCCUGUCUUGCACGUGUAGCAUGGCUUAAGUAGAAAGGGUAGGAAGAUAAAGCCAUAAUCUUGUGGGACUGUCCCUGACUAACCGCACUAGCACCAUUCACUGAGGUUCAUCCACUAUGGAUGAACCUAAUUUUGAACAGAGUAAGAAUAUGAAAUAGCAAUCAAACUUAAGCUUAAAAUAUUAGGUUCUACAUCAAGUAGGCUCAUGUCGCCGAAAAGUCUCAAGUAAAACAUAGGUCUCCACGACGAGUCAUUUAAAUGACUAAAUCACUAUAAAAUAUCCCUAUGUUCUACUUGAGACUUUUUAGUGAGAUGAGUGGCCUACUUGAUAUGAAACCCUUACAUUAUUACGCAAAUGAGAGAUUAACAAUCUUAUCGAAUCUUAUUUAAUCUUAUAAUUGUCUGUGUCAAUUUGCACUUCCCUGAACCAUGGUUCAUAUAAGUUAGAUAUUAUGAAUCCCGAAAGCCAAGAUGAUAAUACUGAUAGAUUUAGGGAUAAUCUAUUCAUAAUGCUGAGUUAGGUUCAACCAGUAAAAAGGUUGAUCGUAUAAAGUCAUAUUUAAAGGUGUGCACCAUGAACAUCAGUAGAUCUCAUCAAGUAAAUAAAAAUUCAAAAAGGACUGGAUCAGACAACUAUUUUAACCUAUGGUGAUCAUAUAUUGUGUUAUUGAAUUUUAUAGUAGCUAGAGUGAGUCUUGGUUGAUUUUUCUUUAAAAGUUUUUUCAUCCUUAUAUGAUUUCAGAGCUUUCAUUUGUUGUUUAAUUUUAUUUAUUCAUUUUCUUGUAGUUAUUCUGUUGAUUUUGGUCGACUUUUUAGGGCUUUUUGGAUGAAGUUGUAUGUUCGUAGAUAUAAUAUGUCAUAGUUUUUUAGUUUUUGUUAUAAUAUUAAUUGUUUUAUGUGUUUUUGUACCUUCUUCCAAGGUUUCUAAGGUCUCACUCACUUAUUUUAUUUUUCUCAUGCUAGAGAAAGCAAUAUAUGAGAUGUUGUGGAGUUUCAGAGUCCAUUAAUGCUCUGUUUUACCUUUUUGUAAUAUGUUAUAAUACACUAUUAAACUUUAAUGUUUUCGAUCAUAUAAGUUAUUUAUGGAAAUAUUUUGUAUAUUCUGGAUGUGGGAAGUUAUAAUGAAAGCAUCUGAUGCAGAACUUAAUGGAGCUAAUGGGACUAAACGUGUUAAUUGGACUCUUGUUAUAACAAGACUAGAGCAUCUCCAGCAGUGUCCUAGAGAGGUUCCCUAAAUAUAUGAUAAAUAAUUCAACUUCUAAAAAAUAGGGACUUUAUGUUGAUUGACAACUCCAACAAUGAUCCAUUUGUGUUCCCUAUUAUUAUUAUAAUAUUAAAUUCAAAAUUUUUUAACAAGAAGAUAACAAAAAAAAUAUGGGAAAGAGCGUACAAAAGGUGAGAGUUGAUUAUUUAAUCAUUAAAAAUCAAAUGAGGAAUGAGUUAGGGAUUACCUAUUUAUGGGGAAUGAGAGAUGGAUCCUAACAUUUAGGGAAUGAGUGGAGACUCUGCUGGAGUGGAUUUUUGUGCAUAUUCCUUAAAAUUAUAACUUAGGACCUCAUUUAGCUAAUCUGCUGGAGAUGCUCAAUUAACAGUGUUAACUGGACUAAUGGUGCAUUAGAGGAGGCUUUGCCACCACCUCCUCCCAACUGAAGAUGUUGUUCCCCUUCGUGUACAAAGAGAUGCUGAGCCAGUAAUGAUGAAGCCUCCACGUGUGCCUAUUGCGAGGCGUGGCCUGGCAUCGAAAGGGAACAAAGUUCAGCUUCUUACUAAUCAUUUCAAAGUCAAUGUGAAAAAUGUUGAUGGACAUUUUUUUCACUGCAGUGUGAGUUCCUUCUAUCAUGGUUCCAAAUUGUUAACUGACUAUAUAUAAUGGUGUGCCUGCUUUGUGUUUUACGUACUUUAAGUUGUCUUAUCCUUAUGCUCUUGUGAAUUAAGUUGGUCUGGUAUGCAGCAUCUAAUCCUGUGAACUUUGCCCUUUUUAUUCAAGAUGGUCGUCCGAUAGAUGGAAAAGGUAUUGGAUUUAUAUGUUGAGGCUGAUUUUAUUCCGGAGUACCAGAAGUGUGCUGGUGGUUUGCCAGUUUGGAUGUUGGCCAAAGGCCAGGACUGUGGUGCAGACUGGAUGGAUAUGAUAUGGCUAGGUUGUAUCUUGUCGCAAUAUUCCAACUUUACAUGUCUCAGAGAGUGUGAUUUGUCUUAGUGGAACUGUAUGUUUGUAUCCCUGGGUGUGUCUGAGUUUGGUGGUCAGUGGGAAUUUGUUUUGCAAGCUUGGAGGCUUUGGUUUAGUGCUGAAUUCAGGAUGUGGAAUUUUCGUAGCUGGAAUCUUCGUUGCUGAGCUCUGAUGGUUUCCUUUUUAUAAUUUUUUUUGUCUUCCAGAUUUUGGUGGUGGUCUUUGUUUAUGCUGCAGGUAUAUGGUAUUUUUUUUAUGCAUCCUUCAGCGCAGAGUUGUUUCUGGCAUUCUUCCUUGCUGCUGCAAUUUUUGUAAAUUGGAACUUGUUUCAAUUAUUUUAAAACAAGUUUCUUUUCACCUAAGAUAAUAAAGCACAUGACCACUAUAUGUAUUUAGUCUCAAUGAUGGAUGUAUUUUUCUAUAUCUAUUUUUUAUAAUGUAAUUACUAUUUUUAUUUGAUCAUAUGUUUAGUUUAAUCAUAAUGGUGUUGUAACCCACAAUGCAUUUCUGCAAAUAUAAUUUCUUUGGUAACAACUCUGUCAUGAAAUAUAUGUGUAUAUAUAAUAUACAUAUAAUAAUAUAUAUUUAAAAUUUUAAAAUUUGUUGGUUAAUAAUCUGGGACAAAUAUAAAU